rnacentral:rRNA from 1 species
UCGGGAAUCUUGCACAAUGGGCGAAAGCCUGAUGCAGCAACACCGUGUGAGCGAGGAAGGCCUUCGGGUCGUAAAGCUCUGUUGUUGGGGACGAAGGGCGAAGGGUUAAUAGCCCCUAGCCUGACGGUACCCUUCGAGGAAGCCCCGGCUAACUACGUGCCAGCAGCCGCGGUAAUACGUAGGGGGCGAGCGUUGUCCGGAAUUAUUGGGCGUAAAGAGCGUGUAGGCGGCCUGGUAAGUCUGUCGUGAAAUGCUGGGGCUCAACCCUGGACGUGCGAUGGAUACUGCUAGGCUAGAGGAUGGUAGAGGCGAGUGGAAUUCCCGGUGUAGCGGUGAAAUGCGCAGAUAUCGGGAGGAACACCAGUAGCGAAGGCGGCUCGCUGGGCCAUUCCUGACGCUGAGACGCGAAAGCGUGGGGAGCAAACAGGAUUAGAUACCCCGGUAGUCC